rnacentral:tRNA from 2 species
GGAAUUAGUUUAAUGGUAAAAUAGGGGUCUCCAAAACCUUUGAUGGGAGUUCGAUUCUCUCAUUCC